UGGGUUGUAUCUGUUUGGCUAUAUAAAAGGGUAAGAUUUCUUUUUGACUUUGCAAUCUCUUUAGUCGCUUGCCUGUGAUGCACAUCAUAUCCAGUUUAAUGCUUAUUC